ACAGAGUGAAACUCUCAAAUAUAUAUAUAUAUAUAUUUUUUUUGGGGAUAUAGAUAAUAAAUUCAGAAAAUACCUGGAAUCGAGAUGAUAUGGCUAAUCAGAUUUAAUGUGAUCAUCUUCAGCAUGAAUCUCCACUUUGUUCCAGCUCCCCCUCCAGAUUCCAGACACCUCUUCUAUCCCCCUCCACAAGACGAUACUCAUAGACACACAUAUACCUCUGAGUGCUUCCUGGAAAGGGCAGAAUCCAAAAAGAAGCCUCUUCUGCAGCAUGACAGUCACCGCUAGAACUUGCCCAUAACCAGUUCUCUCUUUCUAAGCACACAGCGGCUCACACUUUCUGGCCCCGUGGCAGUUAGGCAAGGCCAUGUGACUACUUCUGAGCAGUUAGUUGGCAGUGAGUGGAAGUGAUGUGACAUAUGUGUCAUUUCCAAGGUGAAGCACUUACUAGCUGGCUUGAGAGCUUCUAGAUCUCUUUUCUUUUGCAUGGAAAACCUGGAAAUACCAUGUUGAGACAGAGACACCCAAGAUAAAAUAGCCUGGAAGGCUGAGCCUCCACAUGGAAAUACCAAACCACCCAUGGCAAAUGCUGUGUGAGCAAGAAAUAAAAUUACAUUCUGUUUUUCCUUGGAGAAAUAAGGGAAAAAAUAAAAAUAAAUUACAUUCUAAUAAACCAUGGAGACCUUUGGUGUUAUUUGUUAUGGCAGCAUAAUCCAGCUUGUCUUGACUAUACACCAGCCGGCUGGCCGGCCAGCCCCUUCAGGGUCUGUUUCUUGUCUGAGAACCUGACCCUUCCUUGGGAACUGACACUAAGAAUGGCUGCUCUCCUUGGCUUCAUCUCCAGACCCACGUGGCUUGUCUCUAGAGGGCUUAGCAAUAGCAACACAACUCUCUAUUGCCCCAAACCUCAACAUUCACACAUGUGCUAUAACUGCCCCCAAGAAUCCCCCUGCAUCCCUUCACUUCCAAUACUUUUUUACUUGGGUUUUGUGUUUUUUGGGUCACAGUGAAAAUAUUAGGUGGAAAGGUUUAAAUGUAUCCGAUGACUUUAAACCCGACUUUGAUACUCAAGUGGGCAAGAAAGCUGCUUGCAAUUCUUCAGGGCUUGGACUUGAGCCAUCAGUUGUUUAAAACUCUAAGCAGAUGCAAGUUAUAAAAAACAUUUAUUCACAUAUGAAGUCUGCAUCCAGAGAAAACCAUUUUCAGAGCUGAAAUAAUCUAACCAAAGAAGAAUAGGCAGGGUAUAAAAUCAAGCAGUGCCAAGGCACAUGCUUACCCCGACCCAAAAGGAAUCCAGCCAUUUCAUUCCUCCAGCAGGUGGCGAUCCAGAGGCAUCCUGAGAGAAGGGGCAGGCAGGAAGAACAGAGCACCACUAGGAGUCAGGAGUGUAUCUGAGAUCCUGUACUGCUACUAACCGUAUAAAACCUCAUGCACAUAACUGUGGGUAAACAGAACCCAAUACGGCUGGAGAAAUGAGAGCAAAGGGUUCCGCAUCUGUCCACGGGACUUGCCUUUCUCCCAUACUCACUCUUCCACGGGCGCCGCUGUCUUCUGACAGGGGCGGGAGAGGCCUUGCAAGGCUGAGGAUUGUCGUUAGCUCCAUUUCUGGUUCUUUGCUUCAUUCUGUGCCCCUGCUAUUAGUUGAUGUUCUUGUUGACUCCCUACUGGGUUAUUUACACUGUCAACCAGGGUCAUUUACACUGUCCUAAUAUCAGGACCUACAGUAUUUUCUACAUCACUGGAGCCUUUGCCUUCCCCGGGCACUCUACGUGUGUCCUCACCUAGAGGUUUAUAGGUUUAUUAUAAAGAAUAUUACAAAGGAUACAGAAGAAGAGAUAUAGAGGGCAAGGUAUAGGGGAAGGGGCUUGGAGGUUCCAUGCCCUCCUGGGUACACCACCCUGAAGGAACCUCCUUCUGGUCAGCUUUCUGGUAGUUCCUUUACUUAGCAG